CUUUAGGAAAGAAAAUGAGUGGCUGGGAAUCUUUGGCCCUUAGGUACUAAUUUGUUUCCUGCAAUGAUAAAGGGUUUGGGUGCAGAGGUGGUACUCACAGAGCCAGGAAGAAGUGGAUUCUAUUAUAACAGUCUCCUGGGAGUCCCACUCGACCAAAAUAUUCAACCACCAUGGAGAGCAGAUACUAUUCAGAACAGAGAGAAGUAUGUCAAAAACUAAGAGAAGAAUGAAGAGGAAAAGCAUGAAGAACCAAGUCACUGAACUCAGUUGGCAGGACAUGAAUAAAGGCCCCUGUAUUUCCCAUACCAUGUCCCUUGCUACUAUCCCAGGAGUCUUCCUGCCCAAGUUUCUUAUUUCUCCUAUAUUCAUACCAGCAAUUCUUUUAUUGGCUUUGCUCUAACUGGGGAGAAAAUCUAAGUUGUCAUGCUCACUCCCCCAAGUUUUUCUGCAGGUCCCACCCUUUGGGGCUUUCCAUACCUUAUCAGACACUCUUAGGAAAACGUCAGCCUCCAAGAAACUCUGGAUGACAGGAUCCUCUGCAGAGGGAGUGAAUGGGUCAGAGGCAUGGAGUGGCAAAGCUGAGAAGACCAAGCCCAGUGUUGUGGAAGGAGAAAUUUCCUCCCAAAGAAGUCUCAGGAAGGUAGAGAAGCUGAAAGUCCUGCCACAUUUCCUUUUCUGGUCAGGAAUGGGGUCUAGGAGAGGAAGCUUUUUCUAUUACAAUGUGAUUUAAAGGGGUUGGGAACCCCAACAGAAACUAAGAGCAGAAGACUGGGGUUCUAUUACCUCCUAGCUCCAUGACCUUGGUAAGUCACAAAGUUCUUGCAAGGCUUCCUGUCUCAAUAUAUUUCCUCUCUGUUGUUACUAUUAAACAUGGACAUCUCUAAA